rnacentral:lncRNA from 1 species
UCAGACCUUUUAUUAAACCCACAUAGAGUUACUGAAAAGAAAUCUUUACAAAACAACAAGGUAUCCUUUGAGAAUUUCCAAUGGAUGGUAGAUGCAAAAGAAGAAUUUUCUGAGCAUAAAAUGAGUGUCAGUGCACUAUUAAUAAAUGGCAGUCAGGUAAGAUUAGGAGGAGGAAAGAGAAUGAACAUGGCCCGAUGGUUAGGGAAAAUGUGCUUUUAGAAAUUACACAAGGGGAGGAGUCCAAAUGCAGAAAAGAGAAAAUAUCUCAAUAAUAGCAGAUACAAUAUGUUUAAUAAGAUAACACAUGAAGAAUAUGAAUCCUAUUUGCCAAAGAUCCUCCCAGAGGAGAAGUGCUGGCUACCACAAAGAAACCAACUACCCAUGGAAUUGUCAAGCAAAAAUAUGUGUGGAGCCAUAUUUUAAAGAUGAUGAGAGACUAGCUUACAAAAUUUCCCUCAUAUUGAAAUGGCUCCAAAAAAAAGCAGAAAACUGCUUGAACAUACGUGUAAGGAGUCUGAAACUCAUUAUGUAGAUUUUGCAGCAGAAGGAAGAAAAAAGAAGUUGAUUUCCUGCUCAAAACACUAAGGUCACCAAAACACCAAAGAAUUUAUAGGAUUCUGGCUUUCCUUCCAUUCAAACUUGUGGGGAGGGAGGUUACAUUAGGGAGGUCUUGAUCACUGUCAUUGUUUUAAAAAAAAAAGUGGUCUUAGAACAUAAUGUUUUCUACAAAAGACAAACAUUUUGA